AAAUGGGAGGUAAAUUUCUUCUAAAGCUAAAUAUUGGCCAGAGACCGAUAGCGCACAAGUAGAGCGAUCGAAAGAUGAAAAGCACUUUGGAAAGAGAGUUAACAGUACGUGAAAUUGUUGGAAGGGAAACGCUUGAAGUCAGACUUGCUGUUCGGAGUUCAGCCGCA
rnacentral:rRNA from 1 species